AUGCUUUACGCUUUAUCUGACAUCUUGAGCUUACCUGGUGCAUUGUCCCGGCUUGUGAUUUAUUUUCACCUGAUGCGUUUUAUUCGUUGCUUUGAGUAUUAUCUAAAACCUUGGGUUUCUUUGAUGUUGUAUGCUUGUGAUUUAUUUUCACCUGAAGUUUGGUAUACUCUUGACUUAUUUAUUUGCUUGUGGUUGUAA